GUGUGUGUGUGUGUGUAUGUAUAUAUAUAUAAACAAACAACAAAUUUAAGGUCAUCCACCUAACAUAUCACAUCUCGAAGAUUUAAUCACACAUAAAGAAAGAUAAUGUUUUUUCUUAUACAUAGAAUACAGAUGCAGAAAAUCACAGAAGAUGUAACAAUAUUUCAUU